AUACUUAUUUGACAGGGGAGAUGCCAUGAUCACAAAGGUGGUUUUCCCAGGGUGAGGCAUACCCAGUACUCCGGAUGUGCUGACCCCUGGGAUUUUGCCAAAUGUGGGAAAUUCGACUGCAUAAUUUGUGGUAGUAGGGGACUGUGUUCAUGCUAUUCCCUG